ensembl:lncRNA
CCAGAAUCCACUAUCCUCCAUGGAGACAGACACCGUCAAGGACAAGCACCUGAACUAUCUCCUCCCGCAAAGAGAUAAGGGCUGGUGGGAAAGCUGCUGACCAGCAAGGUCAUGAGCUCCCUCCUCUCUCCAAGUGUCUCAAGGCCGAAGACAGGCUGGUGGGAAAGCUCCGACCAGCAAGGCCAUAUGCUCCCCCUCCCCUACCUAAAACCCCAAAUAAAAACCCUUCCUUUUAGCUUUUCGGGGAGUUUGGAAUUUCAGCAUUAGCUGCCCUCUCUACUUGCUCAGGGCUGUGCAAAAAUAAAAUUCCUACUUUCUUCCACCACCCCCGGUGUCAGAGAUUGGCUUGCUGCGCAACGGACAGCCUGCCGCUGAGGACUUCUGCAGGGACUGCCCUGGGGGAAAGGAGCUGCCUCACCCACAGUUCUCGGGAAUCCCACGCCAGACGCUGGGGCAGAAAGACCCAACCCCUCCACUCCAGCCUCACCUCAACUUGGACAUUUCUGCAGCUACCUCUCAGCUCCACAGCUCUCCAUGGAACUGCUGAGGCCUCAGGAGUAACUGCCUCACAGCUCAGUUUCUCCCUCUGCCCAAUCCUGCCUGCCUCCCUUGUGAGUGUUGAUCCCAGGAGCAGUCCUCAGUCAACUUCCUGCCACAAAUCUCUACAUCAUGGUCUAUUUGCUGGGAGCCCAACCGAAAAGUCAAGUGUAGAUUUCCAUCAGGCACAUGCCAGGGGUGGCAUGGGGUGCCACGUCUGCAUGAGGCCAUCUCUAGUAGCCGCUGUGGCAGAGGUAGAGCCAGGCCUGAGUCCCAGGUUGGCCCCAACACACCUGCGGCCUGAGCAGAGUCUCUCGACUGUUGUAAGCCUCUGUAUCUUCACAGUGAAACAGAACAGAAGCUCGCCAGCAAUGACUGACGAUCCCAGCAGUUGAUGCCUGUUGACCAGCAGUCCUGAUUGCUGUGUGAAACAGUUGACUGCACCAUCCAGAGUGCACAUGGGUCAGAUCCUCUCACCACUUCCUACUUGACUUUAGCCCUUUCCUGUCCCAGUUUCCUCAUCUGUAAACUGGAGCUAAUAAUAGGAUUUACUUUCUAAGACUGGUGAGGGGUAAGUGGGAUGACCCAAGUAAAUGGAGAUGGUAAAGAAGUGUGAGGAGGGGGCUGGCCCCGUGGCCGAGUGGUUAAGUUCACAUGCUCCACUUCAGUGGCCAAGGGUUCACAGGUUCAGAUCCUGGGCGAGGACCUGCACACCGCUCAUCAGGCCACACAGAGGUGGCAUCACACGUAGCAGAGCUAGAACAACUUACAACUGGGAUAUACAACUAUGUACGGGGUCUUUGGGGGAAAGGAAAAAAAAGAAAAAGAAAAGAAGAGGAAGACUGGCAAUAGAUGUUAGCUCAGGGCGGAUCUUAAAAAAAAAUGUGAGGAAAUCAGGUGGGCCUAUUGAGUCCUCGGUAAAGGGUGGCCUUUAUCAGGGCCUAAGGUGUCUCCCUGGACCUGGAGGGCCUCAGAAAGGCAAACUGCCCCCUUAAAUCAGGCCAUAUCUGGAUGGACACCUGGAUACACCUGUGACAAUUAAUAAACAGAAACCUCAUUAAACAGAGUCAGGAGGCCAGAAAGGGGAACUCUGGUGCUCCACAUCAUAGCAAAGCAGAACCCAACAGGAAGCAGAAAGACUUCCUCUUCUUGACCGGCAAGAAACUCAGCCAAUGAAAAGCCACUGCACCUUGUUCAACAAACUCUUUGUUCGCAAUAGCCCUCCCAACUUCCUCUUCUCCUCUAUGAAAGAGGUUCUCCUCCUUUUGCUGCUCCAGGAUUUGCAUGUGGUGCUUAUACUUCAGCCAAGGGCAGAACCACCAACAUUUAUACUGAUGGAGAUACACUUUCAGAGUAGCUCAUGAUUUCUGAAGGUUGUGGAAAAAACAUGGCUUCCUUACUUCCAGCAAAAUAAAAUUAAAAAUGAUCCCUAUAUUCACGAAUUAUUGGAUGGUACACACUUACCUGCUGCUUUAGCUAUUAUUAAGAUCUAGGGACAUUCUAAACUUGACUCUCUGGAAACUAAAGGAAAUCACCUUGCUGACAUUUCCGCAAGGAAUGCAGCCCUUAAGAGAACCAACAACAGCCAAACCUCUGCAUGUCCAAAGGGAUAUUUCCCCAAAUGAUGACUUAGAAAAACUGGCUGGAGAAGCCCAACAACUGGCCUGAGAAAAGGAAAAACAAGGGUGGAAAUUUAAUUAGGAGGGACCUUCUUCAACCUCACUGGAAAGACCUCUAUCAGGUACUAUUAACUAAUUCAUGUGCAACAAAACUCCAAGGACCAGACUCUUAAUUCACGUGACACACCUACAGAAAGCACCAAUCCCUGAGUGGACCUGCACACCGUCUGGUAACUUAAAACCAAAGAUUUCCCAGAAUUGAAGCAGAGGACUUCUGAUGAGACAGCUUCCCCAAGAUGUCCAGACCAGGCCUGUUGGAGGUUUGUCUGCAAACUUUUGAUGAUGACAUAAUGCUUCAGAUGACCUCUGAUGCUUACGAUCUUGACAACAUGUGGACUUUAGAAAAGAGAAAUGCCUGAGAGUUCUCCCUCCUACCUCUCCUUGUUACUCAAAUGUGACCUCAGUAGGUUUCCAAUCUGUGCACUUUCACUCUGACCUGGGACACGACACCCAGGAAAGGUCCUUCCUCACGUUGAGGGGCAAAAGGCUGAUGAAAUUGGAAAAACCUGGCUCUUGAUCAGCAAUGCCUUCAGAUAAAGAUCUUGAUCAAAAGGGGAAAUGUGGAAAUUAAUAAACAGAAAGCUCAUUACAUUGGAGUUGGAAGGCCAAAAGGAGUAACUUUCAAGCCCUACGUCAACAGCAGAGCCCAACAGGAGGAGAAAUGCUUCCUCUUCUUGACUGCCAGGAAGCCCAACCACUGAGAGACUGUCACAGCUCAGCCAACGAAAAGCCACCACACCUGGGGCUCCCAGUCUCCUCCAGGGGACUCUUUGUUUACAAGAGCCCUCCCAACUUCCUCUUCCCUUCUAUAAGAGUUUCACUUCCCUUGGUGCUUGGGGACUCACACGUGGCUCACCAGGGUUGCAGACCCCAAAUAGCAAUUCUUCACUAAUCCCCAAUAAGCCCGUUUUUGCUGGAGAAAUAACUGGAUGUCUAUUUGUUUAAGGUCACAAAUACAACUAAGAAUGCUUUUAUCUAAAUGAAUGGUUGUAUUUUACAAAAGAUGUGCAUUGAGAUAGGAAAUUAUCCACAGGGUUUGGAAGGUUUAGUCUGUCCACCCACCUGCCCCAGGCUCUGUCCAGGUAAGAGGGUGCUAAGUGCCUGGUCCCUGCUCACCUAUUUCCUUCUGGUUUCCCCUUGUUGCCUAGCACAAAUGUCUAUUCUGGCUUAUAUCUCACUGCAAAUCUGGGCUUUGUUCAUGCAUCCCUUUGAGCUUGGUUAAUGAAGUGAGCACAUAAGAAAUGGACACCUUUCUGAUGUACUGGCGGAAGGAGGUGUGACUAGAGGGUGUGGCAGCAAUCCUGGAGAGAGGUGAUGGCAGCAGUGGAGUUGUCUGGAACUGCUCAGUG